rnacentral:rRNA from 1 species
CGUGUAGGCGGCGUGACAAGUCGGGUGUGAAAGCCCUCAGCUCAACUGAGGAAGUGCGCCCGAAACUGUCGUGCUUGAGUGCCGGAGAGGGUGGCGGAAUUCCCCAAGUAGAGGUGAAAUUCGUAGAUAUGGGGAGGAACACCGGUGGCGAAGGCGGCCACCUGGACGGUAACUGACGCUGAGACGCGAAAGCGUGGGGAGCAAACAGGAUUAGAUACCCUGGUAGUCCACGCCGUAAACGAUGAGAACUAGGUGUCGUGGGAGUUGACCCCCGCGGUGCCGAAGCUAACGCAUUAAGUUCUCCGCCUGGGAAGUACGGUCGCAAGACUAAA